rnacentral:rRNA from 1 species
AGCGGCGGACGGGUGAGUAAUGCCUAGGAAUCUGCCUGAUAGUGGGGGACAACGUUUCGAAAGGAACGCUAAUACCGCAUACGUCCUACGGGAGAAAGCAGGGGACCUUCGGGCCUUGCGCUAUCAGAUGAGCCUAGGUCGGAUUAGCUAGUUGGUGAGGUAAUGGCUCACCAAGGCGACGAUCCGUAACUGGUCUGAGAGGAUGAUCAGUCACACUGGAACUGAGACACGGUCCAGACUCCUACGGGAGGCAGCAGUGGGGAAUAUUGGACAAUGGGCGAAAGCCUGAUCCAGCCAUGCCGCGUGUGUGAAGAAGGUCUUCGGAUUGUAAAGCACUUUAAGUUGGGAGGAAGGGCAUUAACCUAAUACGUUAGUGUUUUGACGUUACCGACAGAAUAAGCACCGGCUAACUUCGUGCCAGCAGCCGCGGUAAUAC